rnacentral:lncRNA from 1 species
UGCAGUGGUGUGAGUGGUCUUUUGAUCUACGGUCUCAUUGGCUAUUCGCAGUGAGGCUACUGGGUUUGACUGCACGUUCUCUUGGUCCUUAGCCAUUCGAAUUUUUACUGUGUAUGUUGGCUUUAGUAGGUUCAGGUUCGCUGUUUGAAAUAGGAUGCAUCUAGAUAGAAUCUAUCAAUCUUAGUAGAAAAGGAGAAGUCCUAUGCGAUUUGUAAGA